CAGUCCAUAGUCUUGGAACUCUAUAGUGCCAGUCUGAGGCCAGGCCAGAGGCAGGGAACUGCCCUCCACGGUCCACACAGCCUGGAGCAGUCAAAAAUCAGCUCUUCUUCUAGACUCACCCUCCCAGUGCGUGCCUUGUCAACCUCCAUCAGCUUUCCCAGGUCCUCAGGAACCUGCUCCUCGUCUAUCUCAGACAUGGGCUCCAUACCCUGCAGGUUCCACAGGUCUCCAGCUUCCAGAGGGGUACGAUAACCUUUAACCACCAGCCUGAGGGGAACAGCGAUGAUUAAGAACACCUUCCUAAUACUGACUUGCACCUGGUCAGUCUAUGUCUUGGAAAGAGCAGGUGUUCUUCAGGUUUUGUACACUCAGUGUAUAAGUUAUACACAAACACCCACGUACAUUAUAAGAUUUACAGUAUAAAAGAUUUUUCAAACAGGUCAA